GAUGAACGCUGGCGGCGUACCUAAUACAUGCAAGUCGAGCGAACAGACGAGGAGCUUGCUCCUCUGACGUUAGCGGCGGACGGGUGAGUAACACGUGGAUAACCUACCUAUAAGACUGGGAUAACUUCGGGAAACCGGAGCUAAUACCGGAUAAUAUAUUGAACCGCAUGGUUCAAUAGUGAAAGACGGUUUUGCUGUCGCUUAUAGAUGGAUCCGCGCCGCAUUAGCUAGUUGGUAAGGUAACGGCUUACCAAGGCAACGAUGCGUAGCCGACCUGAGAGGGUGAUCGGCCACACUGGAACUGAGACACGGUCCAGACUCCUACGGGAGGCAGCAGUAGGGAAUCUUCCGCAAUGGGCGAAAGCCUGACGGAGCAACGCCGCGUGAGUGAUGAAGGUCUUCGGAUCGUAAAACUCUGUUAUUAGGGAAGAACAAAUGUGUAAGUAACUAUGCACGUCUUGACGGUACCUAAUCAGAAAGCCACGGCUAACUACGUG
rnacentral:rRNA from 1 species